rnacentral:tRNA from 1 species
GCCCGGGUGGCGAAACCGGUAGACGCAACGGACUUAAAAUCCGUCGGCCUCGCGGCCAUGCGGGUUCGAUCCCCGCCCCGGGCACCA